AGGGUCCGGCUGCAGGUCGCAGACUUGGCCUUCCACGCCUCCUGCCUUGCACAGUCCGCCCCACAACCGCCUAUAGUCCGUAGAAAGAGAAGAAGAGCUGCUGUACAGUUUUUCCAAUUCGAAAAAGAAAAGGGGCUGAAAACGUUUUCUGACACGGAACAAUGGCACAACAGAACCAGUCACAUUUCUCCAUAAAGGCAGAGAAUAUAAAAACAACUUUGAUAACAUUGAUUAAAUAUCCAAUUGAAUCCAAGUGCCCUCUUUGUAAAAAGCACAGAGACUACAGCAUCCUGCUACGUCACCUUCAGAGUCAUGAAGGCCACAUUGUCAAGUAUGCAGCAUACUGUCCAUAGUGGUUUUGAAGUUCCAGAAACGCCUACCUUUCAAAAUCCAGAUCAUUUAAAUGUAUGUUUAAUGGUUUGCAUAAAUAUUUUUGUAACAUUAAACUCCUUUUAACAACGUGACUCUGCUCAGUCCUCUUUAGAACGACAUGCUGGCUUUGUGGAAGAGCUGGUGUAGAAUGUUACUUGAGAACUCCAGCACCAAGGGUUUAGACUUUAUUGAACCAUUAAUGAGAAGACAGAGUAAAGACUUGGCACUACAUCUGAAAUGAACAAAUGUCUUGCUAUUCUGUUCCAUAGCAAUGCAUUCUGCAGAUUUCAGAUUUUUUCUUUUAGAAGAAAUGUCAGCGUCCCUUCUCCAACAUCCAGCACAGGGCACUGAUGAGCAGCAGGAUGGAAUCCUUCAGCAUUUCACCGAGGCACAGAAGUGGUGUGCUGAGAACAUUUCCGUGUUCAAAGGGCGAAUCUCACGCCCUGCAUUACUGUCAAUGGACAAAGACGACACUGAGGAGGCCCUUCAGAAAUUUGAUUGCUAUCUGAAUUUCCAGAAGAAGAGGAGAGGGAAUAUGUCUUUAGACAUAUUUUUUUCACAUAUGGAAGACAUGCAUCUGUUUUUAGAUUAACGUGAGAGGAAAAAGGAAAAUGACUGAGUUUUGUGAGAAAAUGUAACAAACAUACAUGUCCCUCAUUGUUCAGUUACAACCUACAAUUCUUGUUCUAUAUUUUAUAUAUUCUUUAACUUUUUUGUAAUAAAUGUUGCAAACCAACUUCA